UGCAGUCGAGCGAACAGACGAGGAGCUUGCUCCUUUGACGUUAGCGGCGGACGGGUGAGUAACACGUGGGUAACCUACCUAUAAGACUGGGAUAACUUCGGGAAACCGGAGCUAAUACCGGAUAAUAUUUCGAACCGCAUGGUUCGAUAGUGAAAGAUGGCUCUGCUAUCACUUAUAGAUGGACCUGCGCCGUAUUAGCUAGUUGGUAAGGUAACGGCUUACCAAGGCAACGAUACGUAGCCGACCUGAGAGGGUGAUCGGCCACACUGGAACUGAGACACGGUCCAGACUCCUACGGGAGGCAGCAGUAGGGAAUCUUCCGCAAUGGGCGAAAGCCUGACGGAGCAACGCCGCGUGAGUGAUGAAGGUCUUCGGAUCGUAAAACUCUGUUAUUAGGGAAGAACAAACGUGUAAGUAACUGUGCACGUCUUGACGGUACCUAACAGAAAGCCACGGCUAA
rnacentral:rRNA from 1 species